rnacentral:rRNA from 1 species
GUGGUGCAGGAAUAAGGGCUGGGCAAGACCGGUGCCAGCCGCCGCGGUAAUACCGGCAACCCGAGUGAUGGCCGCUAUUAUUGGGCCUAAAGCGUCCGUAGCCGGCCGAACAGGUCCGUCGGGAAAUCUGCUCGCCCAACGAGCAGGCGUCCGGCGGAAACCAGUCGGCUUGGGGCCGGAAGACCCGAGGGGUACGUCCGGGGUAGGAGUGAAAUCCCGUAAUCCCGGACGGACCGCCGGUGGCGAAAGCGCCUCGGGAAGACGGACCCGACGGUGAGGGACGAAAGCUAGGGUCACGAACCGGAUUAGAUACCCGGGUAGUCCUAGCUGUAAACGAUGCCCACUAGGUGUGGCACAGGCUACGAGCCUGUGCUGUGCCGUAGGGAAGCCGUGAAGUGGGCCGCCUGGGAAGUACGUCUGCAAGGAUGAAACUUAAAGGAAUUGGCGGGGGAGCAC